rnacentral:rRNA from 1 species
UGGGGAAUCUUGGACAAUGGGGGCAACCCUGAUCCAGCCAUGCCGCGUGAGUGAUGAAGGCCUUAGGGUCGUAAAGCUCUUUCGCCUGUGAAGAUAAUGACGGUAGCAGGUAAAGAAACCCCGGCUAACUCCGUGCCAGCAGCCGCGGUAAUACGGAGGGGGUUAGCGUUGUUCGGAAUUACUGGGCGUAAAGCGCACGUAGGCGGACCAGAAAGUUGGGGGUGAAAUCCCGGGGGCUCAACCCCGGAACUGCCUCCAAAACUAUUGGUCUAGAGUUCGAGAGAGGUGAGUGGAAUUCCAAGUGUAGAGGUGAAAUUCGUAGAUAUUCGGUGGAACACCAGUGGCGAAGGCGGCUCACUGGCUCGAUACUGACGCUGAGGUGCGAAAGUGUGGGGAGCAAAGCAGGAUUAGAUACCCUGGUAGUCCACACCGU